AUGAAAUGCCUUGUCCCAUAUCAUGCCAACAGCCUGAACCAGUCUGGAAUAGCGUCGAGGUGGAGUGAUUUGCAUACCCAUUUAAGUUCACAGUUAAUGCUAAUUGGUAGUAGCUGGAAAAUGGAGCUUCUCAAACUGAUCCUUGCCAUUUCGAGAGUUCAGUUCCCAGGGUUACUCCCACUAGCCCUAGGACCCACCUGCUUCCCCGGUUCUUUUCUCCAGCUUUGUGUGACAAGCAAGAAGCUGUUGCCAUAUGUCCUAGUGGGGAAGCCUUCCCUGUGCAGAGCAGCAGGAGUUAUUGUGUCACGGUGGAGAAAUCCUAACGUUGGGAUCCUGCAGUAUGUGGCAUUACAGGGGACUCUUGAAGCUGGCUAGCGCACUGUUCCUGUAACGCUGCAGCCGGGCUAAUGCUGUGAAUCGUAUGAUUGAUGUCCUAGGGGCUGCACUCCCUGCUGCUUUAAACAGGAAGCUCUUCUCGUAUCAUUUCAGUUCAGCAAACAAGGCCACUUCCUUAACAAUACAAUAACAGGAAUUUGAUCAGAAACUUCAAAAUUCAGUUCUCGAAGGCAUGAAGGUGAUUGCUUUCAUUCUUGCAUUAUCUGCAGUUAUUAGGCAUAAAAGCUGUGCUUCUUGUUUUAAAAAAAACAGCUUUUCCUCAUAUUCUUUUUACAAGGAGGAAUCUGGCUUUUUUAUGAUUGCUAAAAUGUCAUUCCCUUUUUGCUAGAGAUUUCUCAUUCUUCUUUUUUCCCCUCGACUAAAUUUACAUUGCCAAUAUCACAGUGUGAUUCGGCAGGAAAAUGCACUCGGCUACUUCUAAGUACUUUUCUUCUUUUAAUAUCCCUGUGUGGUUCACCACUGAGAACAGUAGUUUUAGGCACACAUUGUUCAGGUGCAGGUUGCUCAAGAGGUAAGCCUCUUCCACUGCCUGUGUUCAUUUGCUGCUUCUAUACAGAUACAAGAAAUAUUACAGCUAAAUAAAACAGGAUUAUUUAUAUUGCA
rnacentral:lncRNA from 1 species